GACCAGUGAGUCCCAUGGCCUCCACUCACCGUUUCCGAGGCAGGCUGUGGUCAUUAUUAUGUGGAUUUAUCUUGUCCUUUCCCUCAUCCUAUUUCUGCCCUGUUCUUCCCCUGACAUCACUGAAUAUCCUUGUCUGUGUCUGCCCCUUCCAGACGAGCAUGGUAUCUGUGGAGGGCCUCACAAAGCUGGUGGACCCCUCCCAGCUGACGGAGGAGUUUGAUGGCUCCCUGGACUACAACCAUGAGGAGUGGAUCGAACUGCGGCUCUCCCUGGAGGAGUUCUUCAACAGUGCUGUGCACCUGCUCUCGCGCCUCGAGGACCUCCAGGAGAUGCUAGCCCGGAAGGAGUUUCCUGUGGAUGUGGAGGGCUCUCGGCGGCUCAUUGACGAACACACACAGCUCAAGAAAAAGGUGCUGAAGGCCCCUGUGGAGGAGCUGGACCGGGAGGGGCAGCGGCUGCUGCAGUGCAUCCGCUGCAGCGACGGCUUCUCAGGACGCAACUGCAUCCCGGGCAGUGCUGACUUCCAGAGCCUGGUGCCCAAGAUCACCAGUCUCCUGGACAAGCUGCACUCCACCCGGCAGCACCUGCACCAGAUGUGGCACGUGCGCAAGCUCAAGCUGGACCAGUGUUUUCAGCUGCGGCUCUUCGAGCAGGAUGCUGAGAAGAUGUUUGACUGGAUAAGCCACAACAAGGAGUUAUUCCUCCAGAGCCACACGGAGAUCGGAGUCAGCUACCAGUACGCCCUUGACCUCCAGACGCAGCACAAUCACUUUGCCAUGAACUCCAUGAAUGCCUAUGUCAACAUCAACCGCAUCAUGUCCGUGGCUUCCCGCCUCUCUGAGGCCGGUCAUUAUGCCUCACAACAAAUCAAGCAGAUCUCCACCCAGCUGGACC
rnacentral:sRNA from 1 species